rnacentral:rRNA from 1 species
UACGGAGGGAGCUAGCGUUAUUCGGAAUUACUGGGCGUAAAGCGCACGUAGGCGGCUUUGUAAGUUAGAGGUGAAAGCCUGGAGCUCAACUCCAGAACUGCCUUUAAAACUGCAUCGCUUGAAUCCAGGAGAGGUGAGUGGAAUUCCGAGUGUAGAGGUGAAAUUCGUAGAUAUUCGGAAGAACACCAAUGGCGAAGGCGGCUCACUGGACUGGUAUUGACGCUGAGGUGGACGAAAAGCGUGGGGAGCAAACAGG